AUCAUGUUGAAACAUGAGUUCCCAUACUAUUACCGAAGUUAAGCAAUGACAGGCCUGGUUAUUACUUAGAUGGGUGACCGUUUGGAAAUGCCAGGUGCUGUAA